GGUUAAAAAGCUCGUAGUUGGAUUUCUGUUGAGGAUGACCGGUCCGCUCUUUGAGCGCGUAUCUGGUUCAGCCUUGGCAUCCUCUUGGGGAACGCUACUGUGCUUGAUUGCAUGGGGCGGUAUUCAAGACUUUUACUUUGAGGAAAUUAGAGUGUUCACUGCAAGCGUUAGCAAUUGAAUACAUUAGCAUGGAAUAAUAAUAUAGGUCCUUGGUACUAUUUUGUUGGUUUCUAGAACUAAGGUAAUGAUUAAUAGGGACAAUUGGGGGCAUUCGUAUUAACGCGUCAGAGGUGGAAUUCUUAGAUUGCGUUACGACGAACUACUGCGAAAGCAUUUGCCAAGGAUGUUUUCAUUGAUCAAGAACGAAAGUAUGGGGAUCGAAGACGCUUAGAUACCGUCGUAGUCUAUACCAUAAACUAUGCCAACUAGAGAUUGGAGGUCGUUCUCUUUAUGACUCCUUCAGCACCUUAUGAGAAAUCAAAGUCUUUGGGUUCCGGGGGGAGUAUGGUCGCAAGGCUGAAACUUAAAGGAAUUGACGGAAGGGCACCACCAGGAGUGGAGCCUGCGGCUAAAUUUGACUCAACACGGGAAAACUUACCAGGUCCAGACAUAGUAAGGAUUGACAGAUUGAUAGCUCUU
rnacentral:rRNA from 1 species